CCCUUUACAUUAUUUGGUCCCUUGCUGGCUUCCGUAGCGGGAAUCGCGUUUGGCUAGUUUUCCUCUUCCGUUUACGAAGACCUCCCCAUCCACCCCAUCCACUGCGCCUGCGCUGCCGGAGCUGUACGUUGGAAUCGACCAAUAGAAUCUCUCCCCCCCCCCAUGAAGAGCUCGCGAUGGUAUGAUCUGAAGAGGGGGAUUCUUAAGUGGUGCCGUCCGGUGCAGAAUGCACCAAACGUGGUUUUGAGCAAACUUGGAGAAAUGAGGUUUGCACGGGAUAAAAAAACGGAUAAAACUACCUUACUCCAGAGGCUCCACAACCCAUGGAGUGCCUUGGCAUUGCCUGAGGAUACAGUGAAAAUGUGCUGAACUGGAUGUCCAGAAGGGUACUUCGUCCCCUUUGAGGCUUACAGUUGGAACAAACAUUCCUUUUGUUACCUGUUGAUUGAUUGCGGAGCAGUAAAUUGUCUCAUACUGGGCUUGCUAAAUGCAAAAUUAGGAAUUUCUGUUUUGGUUCUUUUUCCAUUUUAGGCACUUUGAUUCUAACUCCUGAUGGACAGCACCGUCUGAAUGCCAGUCACACCUUCUAUGUAACGAGUACAAUUGAUCUCCAGAACAGAUCCCAGCAGUAUAAAUAAUGUAUUGAUCUUGAGAUCUUCACAAGAUGAUACAUACCAAGAUUCUCUCCUUUGGAAUAUGGGCAGAAUGAGUUAAGUCAUUUGAAUUAACUGGCUGGUAACCUCUCUAAACAUUGGAAGGAAUUGGCCUGUGUCAGGGGCAUUGAAUGGUUGGAAUAUGCCAUUAAGAAACGUAGCUGUUUUGAAAGACUCACAUAAAAAGCAAUGUGGUUUUCCUAAGUCCCGUGUUUUAAAACAAAGUUAACAGUGGCGGGGGCAUGCAAAAUCCAAAAGCAAGCUGUAUCGUGGUUUAGGAUGAGAUAGGAUCUCAGCCUCUUGAGGUAGGGUUAGAUCAGGGGUCUGCAACCUUAAACACUCAAAAGAGCCAUUUGGACCCGUUUCCCACAGAAAAGAAAAUAUCGGAGCCACAAAACCCUUCCCAUGCCUGACUAUUUUUUGAGCAGCCACAAAACUAGCAUAUGCAGUUGAAUUAAACAUUCUGUUUUCUUCUGAAACUUUUCUUUUCUUGGAUUUAUCCAUGGUUGGCCUACCGGGGGCUGAAAAGCUCAAUAAAUUGUGUGCCGGCAGAUGUCGCACAUUGGCAGUUGUGACGCAUAUUUUGAGUGAAGGAGCCGCAGCAGAGAGGUAAAAGAGCCACAUGCGGCUCCAGAGCCGCAGGUUGCUGACCCCUGGGUUAGGUAAAAUCAGUUUGUAGGUCAAAUUGUUCCAUUAUUCCUAUCUAAAAGUUUCUUUUGGUUCUUGCGUGAGAUUCCUGAUGGUUUCCCUGCUAAAAUUCUACCUUGCUCAGGACAGAAUUUUAGCAAAUUCUGUCCUGAGGAAGGUAUAAUUUUAGAGGACUGGAAAAGUGACUUUAGAGUAUAUCCAAUUUAAACAUAGGGGACGCAGUGGCUCAGUGGCUAAGACGCUGAGCUUGUCGAUCAGAAGGUUGGCAGUUCAAAUCCCUAGUGCCGCGUAAUGGGGUGAGCUCCCAUUACUUGUCCCAGCUUCUGCCAACCUAGCAGUUCGAAAGCACGUAAAAAAUGCAAGUAGAAAAAUAGGGACCACCUUUGGUGAGAAAGUAACAGCGUUCCGUGCGCCUUUGGCGUUGAGUCAUGCCGGCCACAUGACCACGGAGACUUCUUCAGACAGCGCUGGCUCUUCGGCUUUGAAACGGAGACGAGCACUGCCCCCUAGAGUCGGGAACGACUAGCACAUAUGUGCGGGGGAACCCUUUAUCUUUAAUUUAAACACUCAUCUGUCCAGAUCUGUAACCUGUAACUGCAAUGAAAUAAACUGGAUUCUAACAGGA